AGCGAACGCUGGCGGCAGGCCUAACACAUGCAAGUCGAACGAACCUUUCGGGGUUAGUGGCGGACGGGUGAGUAACACGUGGGAACGUGCCUUUAGGUUCGGAAUAACUCAGGGAAACUUGUGCUAAUACCGAAUGUGCUCUUCGGGGGAAAGAUUAAUCGCCUUUAGAGCGGCCCGCGUCUGAUUAGCUAGUUGGUUGAGGUAAUGGCUCACCAAGGCGACGAUCAGUAGCUGGUCUGAGAGGAUGAUCAGCCACAUUGGGACUGAGACACGGCCCAAACUCCUACGGGAGGCAGCAGUGGGGAAUCUUGCGCAACGGGCGAAAGCCUGACGCAGCCAUGCCGCGUGAAUGAUGAAGGUCUUAGGAUUGUAAAAUUCUUUCACCGGGGACGAUAAUGACGGUACCCGGAGAAGAAGCCCCGGCUAACUUCGUG
rnacentral:rRNA from 1 species